rnacentral:rRNA from 1 species
GGAGUUUGGACCGUGUCUCAGUUCCAAUGUGGCCGAUCACCCUCUCAGGUCGGCUACUGAUCAUUGCCUUGGUGAGCCGUUACCCCACCAACUAACUAAUCAGACGCAGGCCCAUCCCAUGCCGAUAAAUCUUUGACCGCUCCGUCAUGUGACAAUGCGAUAUCAUCAGGUUUUAAUCCCGGUUUCCCGAGGCUAUCCCUGUGCAUGGGGCAGGUUGCCUACGCGUUACUCACCCGUCCGCCACUCGUCAGCAGAGAAGCAAGCUUCCCUCUGUUACCGUACGACUUGCAUGUGUUAAGCCUGCCGCCAGCGUUCAAU